rnacentral:tRNA from 1 species
UCCAUGGUAGCCCAACAGUUAAGGACUCAGCAUUGUCACUGCUAUGGUGCAGGUUCAAUCCCUGGCCCAGGAA